UACGUAGGGUGCACGCGUUGUCCGGAAUUAUUGGGCGUAAAGAGCUCGUAGGCGGCUUGUCGCGUCGGCUGUGAAAACCUAGGGCUCAACCCUGGGCCUGCAGCCGAUACGGGCAAGCUAGAAUUCGGUAGGGGAGACUGGAAUUCCUGGUGUAGCGGUGAAAUGCGCAGAUAUCAGGAGGAACACCGGUGGCGAAGGCGGGUCUCUGGGCCGAUAUUGACGCUGAGGAGCGAAAGCGUGGGGAGCGAACAGG
rnacentral:rRNA from 1 species